AGAGUUUGAUUCUGGCUCAGGACGAACGCUGGCGGCGUGCUUAACACAUGCAAGUCGAACGGAAAGGCCCUUCGGGGUACUCGAGUGGCGAACGGGUGAGUAACACGUGGGUGAUCUGCCCUGCACUUUGGGAUAAGCCUGGGAAACUGGGUCUAAUACCGAAUAUGACCAUGCGCCUCCUGGUGUGUGGUGGAAAGCUUUUGCGGUGUGGGAUGGGCCCGCGGCCUAUCAGCUUGUUGGUGGGGUAAUGGCCUACCAAGGCGACGACGGGUAGCCGGCCUGAGAGGGUGACCGGCCACACUGGGACUGAGAUACGGCCCAGACUCCUACGGGAGGCAGCAGUGGGGAAUAUUGCACAAUGGGCGCAAGCCUGAUGCAGCGACGCCGCGUGAGGGAUGACGGCCUUCGGGUUGUAAACCUCUUUCAGCACAGACGAAGCGCAAGUGACGGUAUGUGCAGAAGAAGGACCGGCCAACUACGUGCCAGCAGCCGCGGUAAUACGUAGGGUCCGAGCGUUGUCCGGAAUUACUGGGCGUAAAGAGCUCGUAGGUGGUUUGUCGCGUUGUUCGUGAAAACUCACAGCUUAACUGUGGGCGUGCGGGCGAUACGGGCAGACUUGAGUACUGCAGGGGAGACUGGAAUUCCUGGUGUAGCGGUGGAAUGCGCAGAUAUCAGGAGGAACACCGGUGGCGAAGGCGGGUCUCUGGGCAGUAACUGACGCUGAGGAGCGAAAGCGUGGGGAGCGAACAGGAUUAGAUACCCUGGUAGUC
rnacentral:rRNA from 1 species